rnacentral:lncRNA from 1 species
CCAGUUUGAGAUCUUGGUUUAUUUUACUUAUCCUACUUGUAUAAUUUUUAGGAAACAAUUAAUUAUCCAUGGUCAAGGUUUUGACUUUAUAUAAGAACUAGUUUUGCUACGGGGAAACUUCACUAGUUCAUUUAGCUUUCAAGGCUUUACUUAAUAACAUGUGAACUUUCUGCUCAACUAUAUUCUGCACUUUCUCUUUUAUCUAGUGGGGGAGAGAUAAAGAGAGAGAUUCCCAUCUGAAAAGAUAGAGAAUAUUGUGGAUGAAAGUUAGAAAAUGAAAGUUCGUAUUAUCUUUUGCAUUUCACAAAUUAACUAGUUGUUGUUUGUCUUGCUUUAGCUGACCUUGCAAUCAAAGAAAGGAGCAAUUAUGAUGAUAUUUACCUUUCUUAUUUUGUUACAGGACAGAUAGACAACUCCACUUAAGAUUCUACCAAUCUGGGAUCAUCUUCUUCAACGAAGCUUGAUGGGAGUUGCUUUGUUACAUAUUGCAAUGAGCUUUCUUGUGUUUCAUAUGAAGCAGGACAACUAGGGUCUUCCAAGGUAUGACCUCCUCUCAACUUUGUAAACUGGGUUAGAUUUGGUCACAUAUGGAGCAAACUCAUGAAAUUUUAAAUAUACAAUCCUCUGAAAUUUGAACUUUUGGGUGUUGAUGUACUAACAUUAGAGUUUGAAACCUUGGAUAAUGUUUCGUGUAGGUGAGAGAAAUCACUGGUGGUGGUUUUGAAACACUCAGAGGGGAUAAAACACAGUUUUAUUUCAAGAACAAAAAGCUUACAAUAACACAAAAGCUUUAAUACAUGCCCUCUCUCUCUAUAUCUAGUGUUUCUCUCUAAACUCUCCACACAAAAUAACAUUAACUUAACACACUAUUUAUACAUAAAUUCAGAAUGCGAAAAUUCAAAC